rnacentral:tRNA from 1 species
GUCUGCGUGGCGCAGUUGGCCAGCGCGUAGGUCUCAUAAUCCUGAGGUCGAGAGUUCGAGCCUCUCCGCGGACA